AACGAACGCUGGCGGCAGGCCUAACACAUGCAAGUCGAACGCCGUAGCAAUACGGAGUGGCAGACGGGUGAGUAACGCGUGGGAACCUACCGUACGGUCGGGAAUAGCUCAGGGAAACUUGGGGUAAUACCGGAUACGCACUUACGGGGAAAGAUUUAUCGCCGUUAGAUGGGCCCGCGUAGGAUUAGCUAGUUGGUGAGGUAAUGGCUCAUCAAGGCGACGAUCCUUAGCUGGUCUGAGAGGAUGAUCAGCCACACUGGGACUGAGACACGGCCCAGACUCCUACGGGAGGCAGCAGUGGGGAAUAUUGGACAAUGGGCGCAAGCCUGAUCCAGCCAUGCCGCGUGUGUGAUGAAGGCCUUAGGGUUGUAAAGCACCUUCACCAGAGAAGAUAAUGACGGUAUCCGGAGAAGAAGCCCCGGCUAACUUCGUGCCAGCAGCCGCCGUAA
rnacentral:rRNA from 1 species